rnacentral:rRNA from 1 species
ACGAACGCUGGCGGCGUGCCUAAUACCUUCAAGUCGAACGAGAGCGACCGGUGCUUGCACUGGUCAAUCUAGUGGCGAACGGGUGAGUAACACGUGGGUAACCUGCCCAUCAGAGGGGGAUAACAUUCGGAAACGGAUGCUAAAACCGCAUAGGUCUUCGAACCGCAUGGUUUGAAGAGGAAAAGAGGCGCAAGCUUCUGCUGAUGGAUGGACCCGCGGUGCAUUAGCUAGUUGGUGAGGUAACGGCUCACCAAGGCCGUGAUGCAUAGCCGACCUGAGAGGGUGAUCGGCCACAUUGGGACUGAGACACGGCCCAAACUCCUACGGGAGGCAGCAGUAGGGAAUCUUCCGCAAUGGACGCAAGUCUGACGGAGCAACGCCGCGUGAGUGAAGAAGGUUUUCGGAUCGUAAAACUCUGUUGUUAGAGAAGAACAAGUGCUAGAGUAACUGUUAGCGCCUUGACGGUAUCUAACCAGAAAGCCACGGCUAACUACGUG